AGAGUUUGAUCCUGGCUCAGGACGAACGCUGGCGGCGCGCCUAACACAUGCAAGUCGAACGAGCGAGAGAGAGCUUGCUUUCUCGAGCGAGUGGCGAACGGGUGAGUAACGCGUGAGGAACCUGCCUCAAAGAGGGGGACAACAGUUGGAAACGACUGCUAAUACCGCAUAAGCCCACAGCUCGGCAUCGAGCAGAGGGAAAAGGAGCAAUCCGCUUUGAGAUGGCCUCGCGUCCGAUUAGCUAGUUGGUGAGGUAACGGCCCACCAAGGCGACGAUCGGUAGCCGGACUGAGAGGUUGAACGGCCACAUUGGGACUGAGACACGGCCCAGACUCCUACGGGAGGCAGCAGUGGGGAAUAUUGCACAAUGGGGGAAACCCUGAUGCAGCGACGCCGCGUGGAGGAAGAAGGUCUUCGGAUUGUAAACUCCUGUUGUUGAGGAAGAUAAUGACGGUACUCAACAAGGAAGUGACGGCUAACUACGUGCCAGCAGCCGCGGUAAAACGUAGGUCACAAGCGUUGUCCGGAAUUACUGGGUGUAAAGGGAGCGCAGGCGGGAAGACAAGUUGGAAGUGAAAUCCAUGGGCUCAACCCAUGAACUGCUUUCAAACUGUUUUUCUUGAGUAGUGCAGAGGUAGGCGGAAUUCCCGGUGUAGCGGUGGAAUGCGUAGAUAUCGGGAGGAACACCAGUGGCGAAGGCGGCCUACUGGGCACCAACUGACGCUGAGGCUCGAAAGUGUGGGUAGCAACAGGAUUAGAUACCCUGGUAGUCCACACUGUAAACGAUGAUUACUAGGUGUUGGAGGAUUGACCCCUUCAGUGCCGCAGUUAACACAAUAAGUAAUCCACCUGGGGAGUACGACCGCAAGGUUGAAACUCAAAGGAAUUGACGGGGGCCCGCACAAGCAGUGGAGUAUGUGGUUUAAUUCGACGCAACGCGAAGAACCUUACCAAGUCUUGACAUCCUGCGACGCACAUAGAAAUAUGCGUUUCCUUCGGGACGCAGAGACAGGUGGUGCAUGGUUGUCGUCAGCUCGUGUCGUGAGAUGUUGGGUUAAGUCCCGCAACGAGCGCAACCCUUAUGGUCAGUUACUACGCAAGAGGACUCUGGCCAGACUGCCGUUGACAAAACGGAGGAAGGUGGGGAUGACGUCAAAUCAUCAUGCCCUUUAUGACUUGGGCUACACACGUACUACAAUGGCGUUAAACAAAGAGAAGCAAGACCGCGAGGUGGAGCAAAACUCAGAAACAACGUCCCAGUUCGGACUGCAGGCUGCAACUCGCCUGCACGAAGUCGGAAUUGCUAGUAAUCGCAGAUCAGCAUGCUGCGGUGAAUACGU
rnacentral:rRNA from 1 species